rnacentral:rRNA from 1 species
UACGUAGGGGGCAAGCGUUGUCCGGAUUUACUGGGCGUAAAGCGCGUGUAGGCGGGACAGAAAGUCGCGCGUGAAAGGCUCCGGCUCAACCGGAGACGGCCGUGCGAAACUUUCGUUCUUGAGGGUCGAAGAGGAGAGUGGAAUUCCUGGUGUAGCGGUGAAAUGCGUAGAGAUCAGGAGGAACACCCGUGGCGAAGGCGGCUCUCUGGUCGACAUCUGACGCUGAGACGCGAAAGCGUGGGGAGCGAACGGG